rnacentral:rRNA from 1 species
ACCAGACUCCUACGGGAGGCAGCAGUGGGGAAUAUUGCACAAUGGGGGAAACCCUGAUGCAGCAACGCCGCGUGAGUGAAGAAGUAUUUCGGUAUGUAAAGCUCUAUCAGCAGGGAAGAAAAUGACGGUACCUGAGUAAGAAGCCCCGGCUAACUACGUGCCAGCAGCCGCGGUAAUACGUAGGGGGCAAGCGUUAUCCGGAUUUACUGGGUGUAAAGGGAGCGUAGACGGCGAUACAAGUCUGAAGUGAAAGCCCGGGGCUCAACCCCGGGACUGCUUUGGAAACUGUGUUGCUGGAGUGCUGGAGAGGCAAGCGGAAUUCCUAGUGUAGCGGUGAAAUGCGUAGAUAUUAGGAGGAACACCAGUGGCGAAGGCGACUUACUGGACUGUAACUGACGUUGAGGCACGAAAGUGUGGGGAGCAAACAGGAUUAGAUACCCGGGUA